UUUUCAUAAAUAAAUAUUUUAACUGGAAAUUUCCAAGUGUAUGACAGGCCUAGAAUGUGAACUUGAAUGUACUGUAAUAGAAAUCAUCAGUUGCCAUGGCGACCCGUUCCAAGAGCAGAGCGCGCCGAGUCACGUGAUCGGAGGGCGCUCAGUAAUACUAACACAUCAGAGAGCGAGGCCACUUAACCCCAAUCGCUUCCAGCUAUUGUGCAGAAUGCAAUUGAAUUUAUUCCUAAUUUCUGCCAGUGCUAAGGAACAAAAUUUCCCUGCAGAUUUUAAUCUUACUCAGGCGGCGCUCAGACGCUGUUCAGCACCAAUAUUCAGCCCGGCUACUCGCCCACUUUACAGCUCCAUUUUCCUAUUCUUAUUUGCAAUAAUAGCUUCCCUCUGCCUGCUGGAUACCGCACAUCCCCCUGCCCUGGGGAGAACUGCCCUUCUCCUUCCCACGUGGCUGUGCGGUUUUCUCUGACUCUGGCUGCUAAUGCAAGGAACACAGCCUUCAUAAUAAUACCGAUAAAAAAAAAAAAAGACAGCUCUCUACUUUCAGCAAUAGUCGCUUCCCCCCACACCCCCUCUCCCCAAACCUGUUGUAAAAUACGAUUUCUGCCAGCUUUUGACUGUGCUUUGGAAUACCACAAUUAACAGCCCCAUCGUAAUGAGGCAAAGCCCCACGGGUCAGCGAAUAAUGGAAUCAAAGUGUGAGUUUUCGGUCUCCAUCACCGUCACCUCCCUCUGGCCCCCCCAACCAGGAGAGCAGCCCAGACGCCCAGGAGGUACAGCCGCCUAUCACAGAACACUCAUUUCGAGAGCUUAUCAGCUCCCAUGAAAGCUGAUAAAUCAGAGUGUCUCAUACGGACAGUCUCGAGUUAGCCGUGUCAUCGAUCCCUCCUCCCCUUUUAAGCUCUUUGUCUUAUUCACUUCCAGAGAUGCUAUCAGAGAUGCCAAAUGAGUCUUUGUUUUCUGUGCUCUUGUGCAGCCUAGGGAUAGUCUUCUAGAAGUGUCAGAACACAUCACAGGGAAAGACUGAGCCUCACAGUCUCAGAAAGAAGAAAGAUGAAUUGACCACACUCAAGAUAAGGAGAACUUAUUGAGCAUCCAUGCGUUCAGGAUUAGGUCAAGUGCCCUGGGGCAUACGGUAAGUAUAAAUAAAAACUUAUCACUGAUUCUCAGGUUGACCACACAAGCUGGGCCAAAGGAGAUGCCACACAACUGGAGAUGUCACAACUGGUGACGGUUAAUUGUCCUGACUCUGUUGACUGUCUUAGGUAGGAGAAUGAGAGGUAGUAUACAUGUUCCUAUCUCCUUCAAUCAUAUUCCCGAGUCUAUGGGUUUUCUCUCUCCCUUUGCAGUCCUCACUGGCCCAGUGGACACUGGGGUUCUGGUAGUCCCUUCCUUCCUAAGGCUAGGAAUCAUACCUUGCUGUGCUAGCCCAAGGGUCUUUCCCAUACCUACUUUUGUAUCCUUUACUCCUCUGUCAGUAGCAUUUCCUCUAGAUUCUCUUCAUUUGCACCAUUAUUAGUGAGUUGAUUCUCUUGGGGGACCUGACUAAAAUUUACCAAGCAGCAGGGGGUUGGAGGGAGGGUGUCACUUUGUUUGUUCAGGGUGUCAACCAGAACAAAUACUUGUUUGAUGGAGGAGAAAGAGGUCGGCCUUCUUGCGCAGGAGAGGAGGAAGGAGGAGCUUUGAAAGCAGGCUGCCGCCUACAGAGAAGAAAAGACAAGGGCUUGAAGUGAGCAAGGUGGCCUUUGGUUCAGACAAACCCAAUCUGUGCAUCUAAAUCUUAGACUUUAAAAAGUUAAACGAAUCCUUCCUGGAGGCUUGUGCCUCCUCUCCUGUCACUUGUUUGAAAAGAGAGCUACAUCAAAACUCCAGGCGUCAGAAUUCCCUAGAACCCAAACUUCACAGCUCUGCCCUGCUGGGGGAAAUCUCAGAUCCUCAAUUAGGCGGUAGUGCGGAGCUGAGCCGGGAACUCCCUCCUGCUUUAAUUACUUCUGGCAUAAUGUUCUUUUUUAAGAUUUGCUAAUUGAAAUUAAACAGCUGCUGCGUUUGGACAGGGACAACAAAGAUUUCAUUGUCUAGCCUUCGCUGAUUUCGCACAGAUUGACAGGCCGUGAGGAAACCAGGGGCAAUCUUCCGCUUAUGGCUUCUGGGGCAUCCUAUGGUUCACUUAAAGCAAAAUAAAGAGUAUCAAGGAGACGUGGGCUCUACUGCUACCGCCAGGAGUCCACAGGACAAAUGGCAUUUUAAGUUAGUAUCAAGGCCACGUUUAUAAAAAUUACCCAGGAGCUAACACUAGCAGUCCAGAUACCUUAGUUGUGUUUUCUGUUGCUAUGAUAAAAUACCCUGACCAAAACAACUCAAGGGAGAAAGGGUUUUGGCGCAUGGCCGUCAUAGCAGGGAAUCCCUGGUGACAGGCACUUGAGGCUGAAAACAGUGACUGUCCAUGUUUAUCUGGUUUCCUCCUUUUUAUGUAGUUCAGCAUCUCAUCCUAGGGAAUGGUACCACCCAUAGUGGGUGUCCUUCUCAGCUCAAAUAACCUAACCAAGAUAAUCCCUCACAGGCCUGACCAGAGGCUAAGCUAAUCAAAACAGUUGCUUAUAGGCAUGCCUGGAGGCUUGUUUCCUAGGUGAUUCCAGAUCCCAUCAAGUUGACAAAGUGAAGUCUGUCAUGCCCAAACUAUCAAGACCCCUGUUUCUACAUACUGUAAGAAACUAAAGACAGUCAGUCACAGGAGAGACUUCAUGCAGGUGGAAUCUUUGCUGGUUAAGUUCGUGUCUAGGCAGGUGAUGUUGUGAACAGGCAGUUUUAUUACCCAGGAUGUUAGUAAAAGGUGCUCCAUGGACUUAAGCGUUCCGUCAGGUACGUUCAGAGUUUGAUUCUAAAGCAACAAGGUGGCUCAGGUCUUUGGAGAGAAGUUGGAGCUAGAAGGCUUGAGUUUGCAUGAGGUUUCAUGAGAGGCCUCUGUGCUUUUAGACUUCUGUGCCUUGGCUUUUUCGUAUUUCCAAUGAAAAUAAUGAGAAAUAAUUUGAGUAAGCCAGAGACAAUCAACUCAGGUAAGCACACUGAUUUCUUUGGGGGAACAAGUUGAGCUUUUGUCAGGAAAUAAUGCUUAUUAAUUUGAAUAAAAGCAAUGAAACUAUGUGGGUUAAACACAGAAGAGAGAGGAUCCUGGGUAAUGAUAGUGUCAGACAUAAGAACAGCGACGAAUGGAAACAAAGGCUUGUAAGAAGCAGAGUUCGUCAGUGCGGGGGAGGGUUAGCUCGAAAUUGUAAAUUCUCUUCGGUAAUAGCAUGGGGUGUGUGUGUGUGUGUGUGUGUGUGUGUGUGUGUAAUCAUCUCUGUCUUUUCUCAGUAUCAUAGAACCAGAGAAGACUUUCCCGAUCACCCUAAAAGCCAGUGUCCUAUCUUAGUUUGAUUUAGUUUUCUUCAUGGCUAUCAGUCGCUUUGCCUCUGUCUCUGUCUCAGUCUCUGUCUCUGCCUCUCUCAUGCGUGCAUCUAUCCAUGUGUCUGCUUCUGCUAACCCUUACCAACGACUUUAAUAACGCAAAAGAGAAGAGACUACGUCUGUUCACUGUUGCCUCCUCAGUGCCUAAAACCAUGCUCAGCACAUAGUAGGUAUGCAGUCAGUGUUUAUUAAAUGUAUUUAAUAGCAAUACUAUAAUUUAACAGUGAUACUCUAUGAUCUACAGUGUUGAAGUGUACAGAGAGUCUCACAAGAUACCUACUAAAUAACCAACUUUAUACCUCUCCCAUUCUUCUCCUCAAAGGGAGCAAGAUCACUUCACGGUCAUGCAGACCAGAGACCAGUGAGCACAAUAGUCGAGGUACUCAAGGCUUCCUCUUUCUGAGAGAGCUCUUGUUGCAGAGCCCAGAUGAGCUUUGGAUUUUCACUCUUUCUGUCUCGGCUUCCCAGAAUUGCAGGGAAUAUACCACCAUGCCCAUCUCUAAAUACUCCAAUUUUCUAAAAAACGUACUUUAUGGAAAUGGAAGCAGGAUUGAAGACAGAAGCAAGACCUCUCCCCCUCCAGGAAGAAGACCAGAAGUUUCCACACUUGGGUAAACUAGUUGACCCUAGCGACUAGCUCCUCCACAUUAGUAGUCUCCAUCUGACAGGGCCUCAGCUGAGGCCCAUUAGUUGGGCCUGCUCUAUUCCAAAGAAGAUGCACCCUGUUAGGAAUCUCGUAUUUAAAUCGAGGGUCGUGCAGAGAUGCGAGGGGAACCCUCUAAAGCAAAAGAAAGAGACAAAAAUUGUAAGAAAAAACAAACAUGGAAGGAGCCCCCAAAAGCAACAAGGUCUGUAUCUUUAGGGGGAUCUGGGAAGGUAUUACAGGAGGUAAUAGUUAAGAGAAUAGAGAAGAGAUGUCGGAAUUUACAAAUAGGUUUGCCAAAGUGAGAAAUGUGGCGGGAGAACUAGAGGAGAACAUCAAGCUGAUCUCCCAGAAAUUACAGCAAAAAGUUAGGGAAACACAGAGGACAAGUCUGGAGUGGAAACUUCUGGUUUCUUUGGAAUGUCAGUUGUGUCAGACGAUGGGCACACAGGUGAAAGGAUAUCUUGCUAAAGCAGACUUGUGAAAGAAUGUUUUCCUGAAGCAGACACAGGUGAAAGGAGGUUCUGAUAUAGCAAACACGUGAAAGGACCUGUGAUGAAGGGGUAUAAAUAUGUCCCCACAGACACUGAGAGACGAGCACAGGUCAUUGGUUUGGUGUGCACAGUCUCGCUGCCUAACGAUUCUUCCCUAAGGACGCACAUGUAUCGGUUCACCCUGUAUAGCAUUGUUGAACUCAACUUGCGGUUAUUCCACCACUGAGAGAAACUCGCCAGGGAACUGCUCGUGAGGUUCCUUUCAGUUUGCCAUGGCCUCACCUCAGGAUGGUUCUCAAGCCUGGGAGUGUUUUCAGGACUGAACUCUAGCUGCUGGUUCAUGCCUGGUGUCUGCCUGCCUAGAGCCAUGGACUGCAGCUGCUGAGUGCAUUGGUGUUUGCUACGGGACUGAACUGCUGCCCAAGGAGAUCGAACUCACCCCCAAAGAACUAUUGCUAAACGGGUCCAUUUUCCCCACAUCCUGAUAACUUUUCUAUUACCUCUGUUGGGUGGUGGGCAGGAGGAGAGGUGGAUCCUUAUUAAAAGAAGCUGAAAAAGAUUUUAUGUCCACACAAAUCUGUUUAGCAGCUGUCAGUGCUCCCUGAGCUCACCUCACCUCACUCGGCGCCUAGUUUUGUAACACGUCUGAAGCUGAGAGCGCGUUUUGUAUGUUCGAAUAGUGCGUUGAAAAAGAACAUGGGACAUAGAGCAUAUGGGGUCCACAAGCCCAACAUGUUCACUGCAUGACUCUCUACAAAACCACUUGCUUAACCCGGAUGCAGAAGGGUCGGUGUCCAAACUAUAGGGAUUCUGGAAAGAAGUUAACUAGUAAGGGAAACAUUCAAGAAUAGCCCCCAAAUCUAAGGACAUGAACCUUAUACUGAAAACCUAUAAAAAGGCCUGGAACUCGGUUCUCAGAACCUAGGUGGGGCCACUCACAAACACCCAUCACUCUGC
rnacentral:sRNA from 1 species